rnacentral:rRNA from 1 species
GUUGUAUAGUUAAGUGACUAAGCGUACAAGGUGGAUGCCUUGGCAAUCAGAGGCGAAGAAGGACGUGCUAAUCUGCGAAAAGCUUGGAUGAGUCGAUAAGAGGCGUUUAAUCCGAGAUAUCCGAAUGGGGAAACCCAGUAGAUGAAGAAUCUACUAUCAACAAGUGAAUUCAUAGCUUGUUGAGGCAAACCGGGAGAACUGAAACAUCUAAGUACCCCGAGGAAAAGAAAUCAACCGAGAUUUCGUCAGUAGCGGCGAGCGAAAGCGAAAGAGCCAGUAAGUGAUAGCAGUAUAGUGAGGAGAAUGUGUUGGGAAGCACAAUCAAAGAGGGUGAUAAUCCCGUAUCUAAAAACCAUAUUGUGGUACUAAGCUAACGAGAAGUAGGGCGGGACACGUGAUAUCCUGUUUGAAGAAGGGGGGCCCAUCCUCCAAGGCUAAAUACUCCUGAUUGACCGAUAGUGAACCAGUACUGUGAAGGAAAGGCGAAAAGAACCCCGGUGAGGGGAGUGAAAUAGAACCUGAAACCUUGUACGUACAAGCAGUGGGAGCCCCAUCACUUAAUCCGAUUGGAAGGUGAUGAAAAGCAACCGCACUUAAACAAUGGUAAGAGGAGCGAAGCGAGUCAAACCACCCAAAAGAAGCAGUGGGAUUAAGUGAUGGGGUGACUGCGUACCUUUUGUAUAAUGGGUCAGCGACUUAUAUUUUGUAGCGAGGUUAACUGAAUAAGGGAGCCGAAGGGAAACCGAGUCUUAACUGGGCGAAGAGUUGCAAGGUAUAGACCCGAAACCCGGUGAUCUAGCCAUGGGCAGGUUGAAGGUUGGGUAACACUAACUGGAGGACCGAACCGACUAAUGUUGAAAAAUUAGCGGAUGACUUGUGGCUGGGGGUGAAAGGCCAAUCAAACCGGGAGAUAGCUGGUUCUCCCCGAAAUCUAUUUAGGUAGAGCCUUGAGGUGACACCUUUGGGGGUAGAGCACUGUUUCGGCUAGGGGUCCAUCCCGGAUUACCAACCCGAUGCAAACUACGAAUACCAAAGAGUGAUACUCAGGAGACACACGGCGGGUGCUAACGUCCGUCGUGGAGAGGGAAACAACCCAGACCGCCAGCUAAGGUCCCCAAGUCUAUAUUAAGUGGGAAACGAAGUGGGAAGGCUUAGACAGCUAGGAUGUUGGCUUAGAAGCAGCCAUCAUUUAAAGAAAGCGUAAUAGCUCACUAGUCGAGUCGGCCUGCGCGGAAGAUGUAACGGGGCUGAAAUAUAGCACCGAAGCUGCGGCAUCAGAAUUUAUUCUGUUGGGUAGGGGAGCGUUGUGUAAGCGGAAGAAGGUUCAUCGAGAGGUGGGCUGGACGUAUCACAAGUGCGAAUGCUGACAUAAGUAACGAUAAAACGGGUGAAAAACCCGUUCGCCGGAAGACCAAGGGUUCCUGUCCAACGUUAAUCGGGGCAGGGUGAGUCGGCUCCUAAGGCGAGGCUGAAAAGCGUAGUCGAUGGGAAACAGGUUAAUAUUCCUGUACUUGGUAAAGCUGCGAUGUGGGGACGGAGUAGGUUAGGUUAUCGCACUGUUGGAUAUGUGCGUUUAAGUUGGUAGGUGGGAAGUUUAGGCAAAUCCGGACUUCCUUAACACAGAGAGAUGAUGACGAGGCUCUACGGAGCUGAAGUAACUGAUACCACACUUCCAGGAAAAGCCACUAAGCGAAAGGCUUUACUAAACCGUACUGAAAACCGACACAGGUGGUCAGGUAGAGAAUACUCAGGCGCUUGAGAGAACUCGGGUGAAGGAACUAGGCAAAAUAGCACCGUAACUUCGGGAGAAGGUGCGCCGGCGUAGAUUGUAAGGGCUAGCCCCUGAAGGUUGAACCGGUCGAAGAUACCAGCUGGCUGCAACUGUUUAUUAAAAACACAGCACUCUGCAAACACGAAAGUGGACGUAUAGGGUGUGAUGCCUGCCCGGUGCUGGAAGGUUAAUUGAUGGUGUCAUCGAAAGAGAAGCACCUGAUCGAAGCCCCAGUAAACGGCGGCCGUAACUAUAACGGUCCUAAGGUAGCGAAAUUCCUUGUCGGGUAAGUUCCGACCUGCACGAAUGGCAUAAUGAUGGCCAGGCUGUCUCCACCCGAGACUCAGUGAAAUUGAAAUCGCCGUGAAGAUGCGGUGUACCCGCGGCUAGACGGAAAGACCCCGUGAACCUUUACUAUAGCUUGACACUGAACAUUGAAUUUUGAUGUGUAGGAUAGGUGGGAGCCUUUGAAGCAGUGACGCCAGUCAUUGUGGAGGCGACCUUGAAAUACCACCCUUUAACGUUUGAUGUUCUAACGAAGAUGACGAAACGUGGUCUCGGACAGUGUCUGGUGGGUAGUUUGACUGGGGCGGUCUCCUCCCAAAGCGUAACGGAGGAGCACGAAGGUUUGCUAAUGACGGUCGGACAUCGUCAGGUUAGUGCAAUGGUAUAAGCAAGCUUAACUGCGAGACAGACAAGUCGAGCAGGUACGAAAGUAGGUCAUAGUGAUCCGGUGGUUCUGAAUGGAAGGGCCAUCGCUCAACGGAUAAAAGGUACUCCGGGGAUAACAGGCUGAUACCGCCCAAGAGUUCAUAUCGACGGCGGUGUUUGGCACCUCGAUGUCGGCUCAUCACAUCCUGGGGCUGAAGUAGGUCCCAAGGGUAUGGCUGUUCGCCAUUUAAAGUGGUACGCGAGCUGGGUUUAGAACGUCGUGAGACAGUUCGGUCCCUAUCUGCCGUGGGCGUAGGAUGAUUGAUUGGGGCUGCUCCUAGUACGAGAGGACCGGAGUGGACGCAUCACUGGUGUUCCAGUUGUCUCGCCAGAGGCAUUGCUGGGUAGCUAAAUGCGGAAGAGAUAAGUGCUGAAAGCAUCUAAGCACGAAACUUGCCAAGAGAUGAGUCAUCCCUGACUUUAAGUCAGUAAGGGUUGUUGUAGACUACGACGUAGAUAGGUCUAGUGUGUAAGUGUAGUGAUACAUUGAGCUAACAGAUACUAAUUGCCCGAGAGGCUUAACUAUACAACGCUCAAG